UGGUACGUCACCGACAAGGUGUACGCUAGAACUGGCUAAUUGCUAACAUGCUCACGGUGACUGCCGCUUUCGCUGAGGAACUUCUUACAUUCAGUCAGGACUUCCUGCUGCUUUUGAAAACUUUGAGGUGCACUAUGGGACCAGAGGGACUGAGUGGACUGGUUGUACUGGGACAGCGAGGCUCAGCUAGUGGACUGGUGGUAUUAUGUUUCGAAAAUGUACGACCGGAGAAGUUGAACCUGGAGCAGAUUGCGAUGCACGAGACUCGCGUUCACAUAGACGCUAAGGACGCUCUCCAAACACACCUGAGGCGCAUAUCCUAAUGAGGGGAGAUGCUGGAUUGGCACGAGGACGCUCUCCAAACACACCGGUAGCGCAUCUCCUAAUGAGGUGAGAUAGGAGCUAUGUGUUCUGAGGCUGAGAACGGGGGAUGGAGAUGUGGAAGAGCUCUGAGGUGGUGCAGAGCUAGUGGGCGGUCAGGAACUGCGGAGGCACCAUUGGAUGCGCAGGACGACGUGCAGUGGGACUGGCUUGGACGGCGGAGCUGGACGAGGACAGGACCUGAGGUGGUGCUGGUCUAGAUGGCGGUCGAGACCUGCGGUCAGAACCUGCGGAAACGCCCUUUGGGAGUGCAGGACGACGCGCAGUGAGACAUGCGAAGGACAGCGGCGCUGAACCCAGGAUUAAGGGGCAGGCUGUCGGACAGCAAGAAGUACGCUAGGCCACCAGCACUGCAUGUAUGCACCGACCACUAGGCGACAAUACGGGUGCCACUGUCCCCCUUCCCCAUGUGACAGGGUAAAGACUGAAGUCCCUCUAAAAAGAACCGACUGUUUUAUAGCUGUUUUAACUGUCAAAAAUAAAAUGUGUACUUUUGCUGCUGCUAGUAAAAUUAACCUAUAUAAAGACCAUUUU